AAAUGCGAGAAUCCCUUGAGGACUACCUGUUGCGAAGGCGUCCAACAAUGACGGGUCUGACUGUGAGGGACGAAAGCUAGGGGAGCGAACCGGAUUAGAUACCCGCGUAGUCCUAGCCAUAAACGCUGCGAGCUAGGUGUUGCACAAUCUACGGGAUUGUGCAGUAUCGUAGAGAAGUCGUUAAGCUCGCCGCCUGGGAAGUACGGCCGCAAGACUGAAACUUAAAGGAAUUGGCGGGGGAGCACCACAAGGGGUGCGGCGUGCGGUUUAAUCGAAUUUAACGCCGAAAAUCUCACCAGAGGCGACGGCAGGAUGAUAGACAGUCUAAAGGGCUUUCUUGACGAGCCGAGAGGUAGUGCAUGGCCGCCGUCAGCUCGUAUCGUGAGAUGUCCUGUUAAGUCAGGUAACGAGCAAGACCUGUACCUAUAAUUGCUAGCAGCUAUUAUAUAGGACUGAGCACAUUAUAGGAACUGCCUUGGAAACAAGGAGGAAGGUGCAGGCAACGGUAGGUCUGUAUGCUCCGAAUCUUCUGGGCUACACGCGCGCAACAAUGGUUCAGACAAUGGGAUGCAACUCCGAAAGGAAGAGCUAAACCUCGAAACUGAAUCCAAGUCUAGCUUGAGGCUUGUAACUCAGCCUCAUAACACCGGAAUCCCUAGUAAUCGGGUUUCAUCAUGACCCAGUGA
rnacentral:rRNA from 1 species